rnacentral:lncRNA from 1 species
GCCUGAGCUAUUUAGCAGAGGAAGAGCUGAGGACAAACUUAUUUACAAAAUCCAUUCCAGUUAUAAAUUAAUAUAUUUGUAUAGCACAAAUUUGCAAAGAAUGUAGAGAGGAUAUUUGAUUUCUCACAUAGGGAAAAUUCUGAAGGCAAACAAAAUCAGUAACUUUUUACAGCCCAUCACUGGGCAGGAGGUUAAUGCGCUUAAAUGAGCAACUUGUGCCUCCUCACUCCAAGUCUGUGCUACUUUAGAUAUCUAGGAAGGACUAGAAUUCUGAAUAUUCAGGUGUCUGUAAGUGCUUUGAACUCCAGGAAUUCCUGUUUUUAUACCUAAGUUUGAAUCAGUAAUUAUACUAAUUUGAUUUACUGUCAUUAAAAUCUAAUGAAUAAAGAAAAAAAACCCAUCAGCACUUUGUCUCAGCUUCCAACUCAAUUUAUUCCUCCUUGGAUUUUUCUGACUAGUUUUGUUUCUGAUGGCACAUCUUGACACAUUCUUUUCCGUUAAGAUUUGACUCAGUUAUGGAAUAUUCUCUGUACACAACGGUAUAGGAGGCACAGGGGGGACAGGAUGAUGGUUUUACAGAUGAUCCAAUGAUCUGGUUUAGCAGGUGAUACAGGCUUGUGGGGAAGAUGACUGUAGCUUUUCAAUUUUUCAACCAUGUAUAUGGAAUACAAUGUAUAUUAUUUUAGCUACCGUUAGAAAUACAAACUUAUUAACAUUCAAUGUGUUCACUAUGAUGUCCUAAAUUUAAAAAAUUUCUUCCGGAAGCCUGUCUGGCCUGGAAUGGAGUGAAUCGGAACACAGAAUUGGAUGUAGAGGUAGCUUUAAAGACUGAUGGUCUAUGUGGGUCCAUGUUUCAUCCUGCUGCUAAGAUGUAAGGCAGGAGAAACAUGCUUACCUGUGCUGCCACACCAAUACCACUCAGGGGAUGGGAAAAUGCAGCAUAGGAUGUGGGAGGCCGAAGCUGAGGUUUCCAAGCUCCUACAUGUCCAGUCGUCUCUGGAAACCAAAUGGAGUUAGAACAAAUGGUCGGGGGCCCACAGGCCUGAGAUGAGGAGCCUGGGGCCAGGGGUCUCCCAAACUCCUGAACAUCCAGAUCCCACUGAGUCACAGGGAGCUGGGAAAGGAGUGGACCUCAAUACUUAGGAGUCCAAGGCCAAGGGAAGGGGACCUCCAUCUUAGCUCAUAGAAGAAAGUCCUUAUCUUAGAGGAAGUUGUCUGGGAGCACAGUGAUGGGGAGAAAGGAUUCUACUGGAUGCUUAGGCAGCACAGCUCUGUGAUGAAAGAGACAGUCCUUGUUUCCAAACUGUUUAUUGAUUGUUCAUCAUGGAAAAUGGAUUCAUAUCAACUCCUCAGGGUGGGCCUGAGAUUAAAUACCUUUUGCAGGAAGGAAUGUCUGGGAAGGGACACUUAUAGGCUAACCCCCCAGGGCCUCUUGAUAACUCAUUAGUAUGGACAAAUCUGUUCUGGGUCUAUGUAACAACAGGUCACAUUUCCUAUUUGGGAUGUGUGGCACAUGUUCUAGGCCAGGAAUCUGGUAGGGAACAGGGAACCACCUACCUUCUUAGGUGUCUGUGUGCCAGGGACUCUGAACUUAGUAAAACUGGCAAGGUCCACUGUCCCACAGUCUCUGGCCAUUUAGCUUUUAAACUUUACUGAGUGUUUGCUGCUAACUUCUAAAAUAAUCCUAAAAAGUCCUUGCUCAUUCUGAGGUUUAAAAACCCAUUGCUUAGAGCUAAUAUCACCUGUCGUUAAACCGCCAGCUGGGAGUUAGGCAAAGCUCUUUGUUCCAAUCUCCACAGUAACUUAGAAGCUGGACUCCAAGCCUACUGGUGAAGAAUGCAGGAAAAAAAUGGGACACUUUGAAAAGUGAUUUUAGUAUCUAUUUCCAAGUUGUUCUCCUCC